UUGGUGACCUGCCCUGAAGUGGGGGAUACCGGAUCGAAAGGUCCGCUAAUACCGCAUGAGAUCUCGCUAGUUAGAGAGGCGAGAAGAAAGCCGAAAGGCGCUUUAGGAGGGACCUGCGUCCCAUCAGCUAGUUGGUAAGGUAGUGGCUUACCAAGGCGAUGACGGGUAGGGGACCUGAGAGGGUGGCCCCCCACAAUGGAACUGAAACACGGUCCAUACACCUACGGGUGGCAGCAGUAGGGAAUAUUGGUUAAUGGGCGAAAGCCUGACCCAGCAACGCCGCGUGAACGAUG
rnacentral:rRNA from 1 species